rnacentral:rRNA from 1 species
GCAGUCGAACGCACAGCGAAAGGUGCUUGCACCUUUCAAGUGAGUGGCGAACGGGUGAGUAACACGUGGACAACCUGCCUCAAGGCUGGGGAUAACAUUUGGAAACAGAUGCUAAUACCGAAUAAAACUUGGUGUCGCAUGACGCAAAGUUAAAAGGCGCUUCGGCGUCACCUAGAGAUGGAUCCGCGGUGCAUUAGUUAGUUGGUGGGGUAAAGGCCUACCAAGACAAUGAUGCAUAGCCGAGUUGAGAGACUGAUCGGCCACAUUGGGACUGAGACACGGCCCAAACUCCUACGGGAGGCUGCAGUAGGGAAUCUUCCACAAUGGGCGAAAGCCUGAUAGAGCAACGCCGCGUGUGUGAUGAAGGCUUUCGGGUCGUAAAGCACUGUUGUAUGGGAAGAACAGCUAGAAUAGGAAAUGAUUUUAGUUUGACGGUACCACACCAGAAAGGGACGGCUAAAUACGUGCCAGCAGCCGCGGUAAUACGUAUGUCCCGAGCGUUAUCCGGAUUUAUUGGGCGUAAAGCGAGCGCAGACGGUUUAUUAAGUCUGAUGUGAAAGCCCGGAGCUCAACUCCGGAAUGGCAUUGGAAACUGGUUAACUUGAGUGCAGUAGAGGUAAGUGGAACUCCAUGUGUAGCGGUGGAAUGCGUAGAUAUAUGGAAGAACACCAGUGGCGAAGGCGGCUUACUGGACUGCAACUGACGUUGAGGCUCGAAAGUGUGGGUAGCAAACAGGAUUAGAUACCCUGGUAGUCCACACCGUAAACGAUGAACACUAGGUGUUAGGAGGUUUCCGCCUCUUAGUGCUGAAGCUAACGCAUUAAGUGUUCCGCCUGGGGAGUACGACCGCAAGGUUGAACUCAAGGAAUUGACGGGGACCCGCACAAGCGGUGGAGCAUGUGGUUUAAUUCGAGCACGCGAGACCU